AAUUUUUUCCAAUAAUUGAAAUACUUUACCGUUUGGUUUGGGAAUAGGGAUAGGGAUAGGUCCUUAUCCCCCUCUUUAUACCCAAACGCUAAUUUUUUACCCGAGAAUAGUAGUUCUCGAUUAUCCCCACCAACACCUCCAUUUUCUAUAUAAAACUUCUUAAUAUUUUUCUUAUCCUCGGGAACAACCCAAUUUUCAUCCAAACGCUAUUUUUCUUAUCCCCAUACUUGUACCUAUCCCUGUAAUAGCUAGUUCUUGCUUAUACCCGAACCAAACGGUAGUUAAAGGUUCUAUUUCAGAACCACCUCUA
rnacentral:lncRNA from 1 species